UACGUAGGGUGCGAGCGUUGUCCGGAAUUAUUGGGCGUAAAGCGCUUGUAGGCGGUCUGUCGCGUCUGCUGUGAAAAUCCGGGGCUCAACCCCGGACUUGCAGUGGGUACGGGCAGACUAGAGUGUGGUAGGGGAGACUGGAAUUCCUGGUGUAGCGGUGAAAUGCGCAGAUAUCAGGAGGAACACCGAUGGCGAAGGCAGGUCUCUGGGCAUUAACUGACGCUGAGGAGCGAAAGCAUGGGGAGCGAACAGG
rnacentral:rRNA from 1 species